UACGAAGGGUGCAAGCGUUAAUCGGAAUUACUGGGCGUAAAGGGUGCGUAGGCGGUUCGUUAAGUCUGUUGUGAAAUCCCCGGGCUCAACCUGGGAAUGGCAAUGGAUACUGGCGGGCUAGAGUGUGUCAGAGGAUGGUGGAAUUCCCGGUGUAGCGGCGAAAUGCGUAGAGAUCGGGAGGAACAUCAGUGGCGAAGGCGGCCACCUGGGACAACACUGACGCUGAAGCACGAAAGCGUGGGGAGCAAACAGG
rnacentral:rRNA from 1 species